UACAGAGGUCUCGAGCGUUAGGCGGAAUCACUGGGCUUAAAGCGUGUGUAGGCGGAUCGUUAAGUACCUUGUGAAAUCCCACGGCUUAACCGUGGAAUUGCUGGGUAUACUGGCGGUCUUGAGCCACUUAGGGGCUACCGGAACAAAUGGUGGAGCGGUGAAAUGCGUAGAUAUCAUUUGGAACACCAAUGGUGAAAACAGGUAGCUGGGAGUGUGCUGACGCUGAGACACGAAAGCCAGGGGAGCAAACGGG
rnacentral:rRNA from 1 species